GUUUUGUAUUCCAGUCACGUACGAUGACAGCUAAAAUUUAAUUUUCUGUUUAUGUGUAUUUUUCAAUAUAGCUCAGUGAAAUGCAAAACUCUGUGAUCUCCUAGCCAAUUGUCGACCCUUACGGCAGAGCAGCAAACACAGGACACACCUCAUGCUGGAGUGCCAGCCUCUACACGCAUCGAAAAUGCAUUUGGAAUUUAUAACAAUUACUAUUUCCAUACUCAGUUUUUGUGGGCUACGCAAGGGCCGUAGCCACAGUAAUUGCCAUGGCCUGGAACGCAGACGGGAGCAGGAUACGGAAAAUGCAAGACUUUGCUAACUCUCAGACCCAGACACAGACCCAGCGUCACGCAGACAAUUAUGUUCUCGCAAAUAUGUAAAUGUGCAUAUAAAUGUGGGUAUGAGUGUGUACAGAUCCUUAAAUGUAUGCUCGGUGUUACCUUUUAUGCGAAAAGUUUGACACUUUAUGGGAGAGAACUUCACUUAAACAGUUCAAGCGGGUAAGGGGAAAGUUAACAUUGAGAUAUUUUUACGGAUCUAAUGUAGAAUCGCUUAUUACCAACUAUAUAGCUAAUAUAUCUUGUUGAACUCACAUUACCAACAUUUAGUCAAAUUUACUAUGAUGGGAAUGCAUGAAACUUUCAUGAUCUAAUGCGUAGAUUUGGGGCAGUCCAUAGACGAGAAACCAUCCAUAUUGA